UUUUUAAACCUUUGGUUAUCUGUUUCUCUUUCCUUUUCAUGCUAGCAUCUGAAAAUCUAUCUAUAAGAAAAAGACUAGCCAGCCUACAUUUUAACAUGAGGGCAGGGGAUGUGUUCUCCUUCUGGUUCAUCGUGUGAGAAGAAGCUCCAUUUCUGCUGGCUUUUGGUGUUUGUUGGUGUGGAUGCUGCAGCUGAGCUGGGGGCAGUUGUCCUUUCCCCACUGAGCCGGGAGCCCCUGGCUGCCGAGUGGACGUGGUGACAGCCUGUGCCCAAAGCAGGCACUGCAUGAAAACACGUGUUUCCAGCUCCUGCAGGCACUCACUUUUUCCAAGAUGACGGAUCUCUGCCUUUUCAUCAUUGCUGCUGACAAGGUCUUAGCGAGCUCUUCUAUGAACUCUGUAGUCUGUUUCUCUCUAAAUAAGCAGAAAAUCUAUGCGCUUUGGCUCCUGUUGCAAGAUGUCACGUGGAGUUGAUUCUCUUGGGUUUAAUUCUUGAUAAGGAUUUGGUUCAAAUAGUCUUAAAUAAGAGCGGACAGAUUGACCAGUCUUGAUGGCACAGUGCUAUCAAGUAUUUUAUUGGCUUGUGUGCCUCUCUUGGUCAUCAGGGUUGGUCAAAACAGUCUGUGGAAAUACAGUUAUUAUGGUCAUUCUACUGAGCAGUUCCUUACUCCAGGUUGCCAGUUUGAUUCCUGAACUCUUGGAUUCUACAGUGAAGAUGCAGAGAACGAGCCUCUGACUUCAGGUUAUCAUGGAUACCCAGCAAGAGACAAUCAAGUAAGAGUCUGAUUGCAGUAAAUGCGUGCGUGUGUUUCUGUAUACUUGUGGAUGUUUUGUCUGACAGCUUCGUGACCAUCUUGUUAAGGAGUGGAAAUUAUUUUGUUCUGUUGUGCAGUGCUUGUGGAGAUAGAGAUGGUGAACUGAAUGUGGCCUCCAGCAGUAUGUGGCAAUGUCUCUGGUGAGGAGUUAAAAAUGAUCCACAUUGCUGGUGGCUCAGGAAAUCCUUUAUUCUUAAAAAUUUUGUAGCUUAAAAUCCCCGUCCUAAACUCCCACUGUAUCUCCUCAGAGUAAAUGAAUGUAGAUG
rnacentral:lncRNA from 1 species